rnacentral:miRNA from 1 species
UCUAGGAAGCCCGGGCAGCAGUGGGAUAGCCAUGGGGCUGCUGAUUGGGGACGGCCUGUG